rnacentral:misc_RNA from 1 species
GAAAUGCGAUAAGUAGUGUGAAUUGCAGAAUUCAGUGAAUCAUCGAAUCUUUGAACGCACAUUGCGCCCCUUGGUAUUCCAUGGGGCAUGCCUGUUCGAGCGUCAUUUGUACCUUCAAGCUUUGCUUGGUGUUGGGUGUUUGUCUCGCCUCUGCGUGUAGACUCGCCUCAAAACAAUUGGCAGCCGGCGUAUUGAUUUCGGAGCGCAGUACAUCUCGCGCUUUGCACUCAUAACGACGACGUCCAAAAGUACAUUUUUACACUCUUGACCUCGGAUCAGGUAGGGAUACUCGCUGAACUUAAGC